rnacentral:rRNA from 1 species
CAGUCGAGCGCGGGAAGUGAGUGAAGCCCUUCGGGAUGGAUCUCAUGGAACGAGCGGCGGACGGGUGAGUAACACGUGGGCAACCUACCUGUAAGAUUGGGAUAACCCCGGGAAACCGGGGCUAAUACCGAAUAAUACUUUUUAUCACAUGGUAGAAAGUUGAAAGGCGGCUUUUGCUGUCACUUAUAAAUGGGCCCGCGUCGCAUUAGCUAGUUGGUGGGGUAAUGGCCUACCAAGGCAACGAUGCGUAGCCGACCUGAGAGGGUGAUCGGCCACACUGGGACUGAGACACGGCCCAGACUCCUACGGGAGGCAGCAGUAGGGAAUCUUCCGCAAUGGACGAAAGUCUGACGGAGCAACGCCGCGUGAGUGAUGAAGGUUUUCGGAUCGUAAAACUCUGUUGUUAGGGAAGAACAAGUAUUGUUUGAAUAAGGCAGUACCAUGACGGUACCUAACCAGAAAGCCCCGGCUAACUACGUGCCAGCAGCCGCGGUAAUACGUAGGGGGCAAGCGUUGUCCGGAAUUAUUGGGCGUAAAGCGCUCGCAGGCGGUCUUUUAAGUCUGAUGUGAAAGCCCACGGCUUAACCGUGGAGGGUCAUUGGAAACUGGAGGACUUGAGUACAGAAGAGGAGGGUGGAAUUCCACGUGUAGCGGUGAAAUGCGUAGAGAUGUGGAGGAACACCAGUGGCGAAGGCGACUCUCUGGUCUG